AAAGUACUCCUUCCAUCCCAAAAUUCUUGUCUUAGAUUUGUCUAGAUACGGAUGUAUCAAGUCACAUUUUAGUAUUAGAUACAUCCGUAUCUAGACAAAUCUAAGACAAGAAAUUUGGGACAGAGGGAGUAGUUG
rnacentral:pre_miRNA from 1 species